AAGUCUAGGAAAUGUAUUUUCUUUUCAGCCCAUGUGCAUUUCUUUCUCCUGUUGGGCCGGCCCAUGCCCUCUUCUUUUUCUUUUCUGCAGCACAAAACCAGAGAGCAGACCUACGUGCCUUGUCUCCUUCCUCCAGCCACAAUAGCAUCAUCCGAACACCACCUCCCUCCUCUCUAUCUCCAAUUCGGUUUGAAUCAAUCCCCAGCUCGAAUCCCUCCAAAUCCACAUCAAUCCGUGUGGAAUACGAGAGAGGAGCGUCUAGAAGCCUCACGGGAGAUCAAUUUCCAACUGCCCCAACCGGAUUUGUGUUUAUCUCCAAGUCUAGCCAGCCGAAUCCAUGGUAUCCCAACUGAUUCAAGGUUUAUCUUUUCCCCCCACCUCCUCAAGCUGGCCUAUAUUUACGUGGAGACCUUGGGGCAGGGGAGAGCUUUGGGGGAGAACACGCGGGAGCCCUGCCACUUUGCGCUGCUGCCCUUCGCUGUUGUUGGCCGACGCUUUUGUUGUGCGCCGUCGUCGCUGCUACACCGACACACCAACACCCCCUCUGAUCGCCAUGGCCGGCCUGAGUUCCUCCGUUGCCGUCCCGCAAGACUCGGAGACGAUAUCAAUACGAUGACCGUCAAUGCAACUCAAUCGGAGGUAGCCCAAGGACGGGCGUAAUUAAUCGGAGAGCUUUACAAAGCCCCGGGAACCAAAACAAAUCAAUUGCCAGAUCAUGAAUAUAAUCAGAUAGCGUGUGCGUUGUGAAGUAAAACUUUGUAAUCGAAAGAUGUACUUUAUGAAUUCGAUAUGAAUGAAUAAAGUUUACAAUUUUAUUA